rnacentral:sRNA from 1 species
AUCAAACACAAAAUAUGUUUCGCUUUUUAAAUAUAUUUACAGUUAUGAACUAAAUAAAGCAUUAUUUUCAUUUAAAUGUAAGGACUACAACAGAAAAUAACGGCCGGCGAUGUGCGCAGCAAGCAAGCAAAUCUA